UACGUAGGGUGCGAGCGUUAAUCGGAAUUACUGGACGUAAAGGGUGCGCAGGCGGCCUCGUAAGCUGGGUGUGAAAGCCCCGGGCUUAACCUGGGAAUGGCAUUCAGGACUGCGAGGCUUUGAGUGUGGCAGAGGGAGGUGGAAUUCCACGUGUAGCAGUGAAAUGCGUAGAGAUGUGGAGGAACACCGAUGGCGAAGGCAGCCUCCUGGGCCAGCACUGACGCUCAUGCACGAAAGCGUGGGGAGCAAACAGG
rnacentral:rRNA from 1 species